rnacentral:rRNA from 1 species
UUAGAGGAAGUAAAAGUCGUAACAAGGUUUCCGUAGGUGAACCUGCGGAAGGAUCAUUACCUAGAGUUGUAGGCUUUGCCUGCUAUCUCUUACCCAUGUCUUUUGAGUACCUUACGUUUCCUCGGUGGGUUCGCCCACCGAUUGGACAAACUUAAACCCUUUGCAGUUGAAAUCAGCGUCUGAAAAAACUUAAUAGUUACAACUUUCAACAACGGAUCUCUUGGUUCUGGCAUCGAUGAAGAACGCAGCGAAAUGCGAUAAGUAGUGUGAAUUGCAGAAUUCAGUGAAUCAUCGAAUCUUUGAACGCACAUUGCGCCCCUUGGUAUUCCAUGGGGCAUGCCUGUUCGAGCGUCAUUUGUACCUUCAAGCUCUGCUUGGUGUUGGGUGUUUGUCUCCUGUAGACUCGCCUUAAAACAAUUGGCAGCCGGCGUAUUGAUUUCGGAGCGCAGUACAUCUCGCGCUUUGCACUCAUAACGACGACAUCCAAAAGUACAUUUUUACACUCUUGACCUCGGAUCAGGUAGGGAUACCCGCUGAACUUAAGCAUA